UGCAAACGACUAAUAGUCGAUCUCAACUUUAGACCUUUCAAACCACAAAUUUCUUUUCCAGGAUUUUAUGUCGCUGUGUCCCGUGUUCGAAAAUCGCAAGAUUUAAGAAUCAUGCCGAUACAACCAAACACUUCCAAUUUAAAAUGCAUUAAAAGUUUAACACCACCUGAGAAGCUGACAACUUGGCUAACGGGAUACGACAACGACGGAUUUUGGGACCCAAGGCGGGUACCACUAACAAAAAAAUACGACUCUAAGGAAGAAACAACUACGACUUCAACAAGCAGAAAAUCAACAAGAAAAAGGAAAGCCACGGAACAAACCAAUUAGGUAACAAACAACAAGUACCGGAAUGUUCCAGGCAAAAAAGAAAAAAAAAGUAAAGACAUCUAGUUCAGGCAAUCAAAAUGGGGAAAAAAAGCUGUCAAAUCCUCACUUCGAAUAAGGACAACAUAGAUUUCACUAAGAGUUCUCAGAUAACCCCGUGUCCUUUUCAAAACAGACUAAAUAAAGAGAGACAAUUAAUUAAAGGAAAGUUUAAAAAAAAAUUAUUUAAUCAAGAAAAAUUAAUACACUGCAAUUCCAUUCACAACAAAACCAUAAAAAUCUUGAUUCCCCAUUAGAAAAGAAGGCCGAGAGUAGCCUAGUAAAGGACACACAUAACUUCGGUGUUGUAAUAAAAAAAACAAAGAAGACAUUCAGGUAAGUUUUAAACAAGUUUCUGAAUCUUCUCUGAACGUGAUCACUUUUCCUUUUAGUUUCACCUACAUCUUUGAAUUUCUUCGCCUUCCAAAGAGAAACAACUCUAGAUUCAGUAGAAUCACACUCAACUUUCGCAAUCUUACAAUUAAAAAAAAAAGAAAUAGAUUUAAAAAAUGGUAAACGUAUCAAGAAUACUUUAAAGACGGAAGCCUUCGACGUCUGAAUAUAUUCCCGCUGCAAGUAUUCAUUACAAGUAGCAUCCUGAAUCGAAAGUUUGUAAUAAAAUUUUCGCAAAUCCAAAAGACUAACGAGCUCAAUAUCAUCGUUCCACAGAGUCACUUUCACCUACCAAACCAGACACGAAAGUUUAAAAAAAAAAAGAAAACAAAUAAAAAUAAAGCGGAAAUUCCAUUCCAGUACCGUUUCACCAGGCUUCAUCGAAGCGUCAAAAACUUCGAGUUCAAGUUUACGUAAUUCACCUUUUCGAACGUCCACAACGCAACCAGCUUUAUAAACAAUGACUUCAAUAUCUAACAUAAAAAAGAAAAAUAAAUGAAAAGAAAAAAAAAAA